GACCAGCACACACAGUAGCACUCCUGUCCUGUCCCCUCCAUGGCUGAUUAACCCUGCUGGUUAAUUAGUGUGAUUAGGAUCAGAACACACCAGGAGGCCAUUACCCAUAAACCACAGCAAGGCUCAGGGGAAGGUUCAAGCAGAGAAAUCUCAACAGCUGCAACAUGUCAGGAACAAAAUAACAACACGGACUGAAACUUUUCCCUCAUGUCUUCCUUUUCACUUACAAGGGGGAUAAGGACUGGAAAGGAUGGAGGAAGCUGGUGCUGGGAGCAACCAUAGUGACCAACUCUAAGUUGAGGAUGGGGCAAGGUGAAGCUCAGAUACUCCAGCCUGACUGGCAAUACAUGCUGCUUUAUUUGUUCACCCUGGAGUCAGGCCUGAUGAGGAACUAAUAGUCCCACGUCUGAGGAUGCAGCAGAAGCUGGCGAGGAUUUCACCACAUUUGGUGGCAGCUGCUUCUGUUCUUGCCGCCUGAACAGAUUCCCUCACAGUUCCUGCACGUACACUGUCAUCCCAGCUCCAAACCAUACCAAAUGAGAUCUGACAGCAGGUCGGGUACAGAACUGAUUGUGUAGAAGACACCAGCCCUCCCAGAAGGGCCGUUUACUGCCUGAUGGAACGACAACAAGAUAACGAGAACUCCACCACACCUCUGUUGGGACCAGGAGUGACA